CCUACGGGGGGCAGCAGUGAGGAAUAUUGGUCAAUGGACGAGAGUCUGAACCAGCCAAGUAGCGUGAAGGAUGACUGCCCUAUGGGUUGUAAACUUCUUUUAUAUGGGAAUAAAGUGUUCCACGUGUGGGCUUUUGUGUGUACCAUAUGAAUAAGGAUCGGCUAACUCCGUGCCAGCAGCCGCGGUAAUACGGAGGAUCCGAGCGUUAUCCGGAUUUAUUGGGUUUAAAGGGAGCGUAGGUGGAUUGUUAAGUCAGUUGUGAAAGUUUGCGGCUCAACCGUAAAAUUGCAGUUGAAACUGGCAGUCUUGAGUACAGGAGAGGUGGGCGGAAUGCGUGGUGUAGCGGUGAAAUGCUUAGAUAUCACGCAGAACUCCGAUUGCGAAGGCAGCUCACUGGACUGCAACUGACACUGAGGCUCGAAAGUGUGGGUAUCAAACAGGAUUAGAUACCCCGGUAGUC
rnacentral:rRNA from 1 species